rnacentral:tRNA from 1 species
AGAAAUUUAGGUUAACACU